CUGGGCUGGUGGAAGGUGUCCCUGCCCACGUAUCCUGUUCCACUGGAUCAUCUUUAAGGUCUCUCCCCAUUCCAUAAUUCCAUGAUUCUUUGUGCCUGACAGCCUUUGGACCCUCACACAUAAACCAUGCACAACUCAAGGCCUGAUUCAUUUUUCCCCUGGAUCUGAGGAGGCUGAACCUGGAGCGACUCUUUCACUUUCCUUCUGGAAUUCCUGCCAGAACCAGGAAUAACAAGUAGGAGUUUAAUGGCAGGGUGGAAGUCGUGGCCUUUGCCGGUGGGAUUUGGCUCUGGUGAAGUUUGGUGAAGGCUAAAUUGACCUGCUGAAAUUCAGGAUUUAUGUCCUGAGUGGUGGCAAACUGCACAUCCCCGUUGGAAGCCGUGGGAUCCAACUGCAGGAGCUGCUGUGGGCUCGGUAGCUGUGGAAAUGCACCUUCCUGACAACGAGGAAACACAUUCCCAGUUUCUUUCCAGAGCCCUGGCUGCCUGGGGAGCCACGAAGUGGGAAGAAAGCAGCUGCUGAACUCUUGCACAUCAACACCACACGACAGGUCAGGGCAGGAAGUGAAGAGGAAUCCAAUGGAAACCUCCGGAGGAAUUUAGGGAGACGAAAGAUAAUGAACCCCAGUUGGAUUUUGGCCAGGAGAGCCGGGGCUCUGCUGUUGGGAAAGGCACAUCUGGGAUGUUGGACAGUCAGGAGGCAGCUCAUCAGCUGCUGGAAAUGAGUCUGGCUCCGUUCUCCUCACUGGGUGAAAAUUGGUCUCUUUGGAAGGAGUACAAGGCUCCGAUCCGGACCUCCACGAUCCCGAAAUCUGGCCCAGGAGAUCAGGAAAGCAGCUUCCCACUGCUCAUCCAUCCAGUUCCUCCCCGACAGCAGCCCUUUUAAAAUAGGAACAGAAAUAUGGAUUUAUAUCAAA